ACGGGCAGACUAGAGUGCGGUAGGGGAGAUUGGAAUUCCUGGUGUAGCGGUGGAAUGCGCAGAUAUCAGGAGGAACACCGAUGGCGAAGGCAGAUCUCUGGGCCGUUACUGACGCUGAGGAGCGAAAGGGUGGGGAGCAAACAGGCUUAGAUACCCUGGUAGUCCACCCCGUAAACGUUGGGAACUAGUUGUGGGGUCCAUUCCACGGAUUCCGUGACGCAGCUAACGCAUUAAGUUCCCCGCCUGGGGAGUACGGCCGCAAGGCUAAAACUCAAAGGAAUUGACGGGGACCCGCACAAGCGGCGGAGCAUGCGGAUUAAUUCGAUGCAACGCGAAGAACCUUACCAAGGCUUGACAUAUACGAGAACGGGCCAGAAAUGGUCAACUCUUUGGACACUCGUAAACAGGUGGUGCAUGGUUGUCGUCAGCUCGUGUCGUGAGAUGUUGGGUUAAGUCCCGCAACGAGCGCAACCCUCGUUCUAUGUUGCCAGCACGUAAUGGUGGGAACUCAUGGGAUACUGCCGGGGUCAACUCGGAGGAAGGUGGGGAUGACGUCAAAUCAUCAUGCCCCUUAUGUCUUGGGCUUCACGCAUGCUACAAUGG
rnacentral:rRNA from 1 species